rnacentral:snoRNA from 1 species
UUGUGGCAUGGAUGAUGAAAACAAAUUAGAUGUGCGAGAGGUGAAUUCCUCUAUGAGCUUAACAUCGAGGCAUAUUUAUAUUCUGACUUGCUUUUA